GCAAUCCAUCAUACCACCUGAACUUACCUAAGCUUGUCUGAUUUCAGAAGCUAAGCAGGGUUUGGUCUGGUUUGUUCUUGGAUGGGAGAUCAACAGAGAUCAUCAGCUAUGGCUAGAA
rnacentral:rRNA from 1 species